rnacentral:lncRNA from 1 species
GGGAACAUUUGGCUGAAAAUGAAAUUUUCAUUCAAAACAAGGAACAUUCGGUUGACAAGUAUUCCCACCAAAACACAAGUUCCAACAUCUAUAAAAUCUGCCAUUCACAAUGCCUAUUACAUUCACAAUCUGAAAAUUGAAGAACCUACUACAAAAUCACCAAAAUCACUUCAAAAUCAACAAUGGUGAGGCGCAACGAUCUAACCACGGGAGAGAGAAACUCCAUCAUCCAAUUUGUGCUUGAAGACAGCCACGGUGGGAAGCCAAAACGUGGCCGAAUGAAGGAGGCUGCUGUCAAGUUCGGCGUUUGUCGGCGGACGGUGACUCGCCUAUGGAACGCUGCCAAAAAACAGAAAAGCCAAGGUGAAGGAAUAUUAAAUUGAAUUAAUACUCGAUUGCCCGAUGAUCGUUUCUUGGAUUAUUAUUAAUUCAUCAUACAACGAUUAAUUCCUAACAUGCUCCUAUGAAUUUAACAGCUGCACACAGGUGUUAGGAAAACUUACUUGAGAAUCGGAUGCACAGAUGAUUGAUGAUCGUGUCGAAUGAUUCAGACUCCAGCUCUGAUCUUCUCGACUGUAUCCCGCUCAAUUCCCAACGUUGGAUGGACAACGAGCUAUGGAAAUUCCCAAGACAGAAUGUCACUCACGUUUCCUGCGCCCCCUCUGCUCUCAAAAACCCUAAUUUUUGUCAGUGUAUUUUCCUGAGAGCUGACAGCUGUAUUUAAUAGAUAAUUAAAUACGUAUGGGGCGCUGCUUUCUUGUGAGGGACGAUUUCUGGCUCUUCUAGGGCUAGGAGACAUUGGGCCAGCCCAGGGACCAGAUACAAGGAAUAAAGAUGGGCCUCAAAUAAAUUAAUUUAUCUAUGGUCAGCCCAGACCAUAAUUAAUUUAUAAAUAUCAGUUCAUUCCACUAGAGAACCGAUACUGACUUACCCCUUUAUUGCCGGUGAUGAGUCGGGGCUUGUAUUUAGACUUAUUAAAUCUCCGUAUUUAAAAUAUCCGACAUCCAUUAAUUAAUUAGAGCUCUGACAGCUUAAAUUAAUUAAUCUCUUAAUAAUUCCUUAAGCAGUACCACUCAAUCUUUAUUAUUACGCCUGAACUUAAUCAACCUGCAGGGUUUAGCGUAAUAAACCUUAUUGAGCUCCUUAAGGGGAUGUCAUUAUCCUAUACCGGAUACGGGUACUAAUACAGAUAGUCAAAUAUCAUAUAUUAACCGCUAUCACCCAAGAUACAGAGUACUCGAGUUAGUAUUUAACUCUCGCCCAUAGUAAGUCAAAGUGAUAUACGAAUUAACAUAUAUAUCUGAAUACUUAAUUGUAUUAAGAUUUAUGAGUCACCGAGAUCUUGAUUCUUCACUUAAGUCAGAUAGAAGAAUACAUCUCAAACUGUUGGUCCUAUCAAUACGUAAUGACGUACCAGUAUAGACAAGUAGCCAAGACAAACUACUUCCAUCUAUACUGCAGCCUAAACCAAUAACUUGUCCUAGAGUUAUUUCGGCUGUGAUCAUAUUAUAUCUCUUAAGGUUAUUCCAAUUAUAUGGUCUUCUGUGAUCUACAACACACCAUAUAAUCUACUUAUACAGAGAUAAAGAACAUACAUAUGCAAUCAUGAACACAAUCAGAUAGGAGAUAAGAAUAGUGAAUAACAGGAAUCAUUGUAUACAAGCAUAAAGUUCUUGCUUUCAGUAUACAAAUCCAACACAAGGUGAGCAUAUGCAUUCUUGCAGUGGGAAAAUCAACAAAACAAGGCGCAAAAGAGUUGAAAUAGACUUGGAAUUAAUUUCAAGCAUGGAGUUAAACAAAAGAGCAACUAUUAGAAGGCUAGCACGUGGAAUUAAUUGCAGCAAGAGCACAGUUGGGCGAUGGGUAAGCAAAGGUUUGAUCAGGGCUCAUACUAGUGCUAUUAAGCCCGAUUUAACAGCCCCUAAUAAGUUGUUACGUCUAAACAAUGUUUUCUUGAGCCUUCAAGGCUGUUUGACUGAAAUUCUAAAGGUCAAAGGGCACAACACCUAUAAAAUUCCUCACAUGAAGAAAGGAGCACUUAUUAGACAAGGAGAGUUACCACUCAACUUACAAGUUCCCCAUGAUUUAGUUAAGGAGGCAAUUAACUAUCUCAUGGAAAAUGGAAUAGUAAGUGGCAUGGAUCAUCUAAGGCAUUCACUUGGCAUAAGUUCAAUUUCUUUAGAUGAAAUUGAACUCCAAAUGAAUGGGUUAGGUAUUGAAGUAGCAUGACAUUUUAGAGGCUGCCACAUUUUGUAAAGAAUAGCAGUUCAUGCAGGCUGCCACAUUUUAGAGGCUGCCACAUUUUGUAAAGAAUAGCAGUUCAUGCAGGCUGCCACAUUUUGUAAAGCAUAGCAGUUCAUGUGGCUUUUUUGUAAACAAAAGGAUGUAAUGCAGAUUGCCUCACACUUGAAAUGCAUUUUUAGUUUUGUAAACCUUAGACAUUGUACAUAUGGGCACACAUCAAUCUAUUGCACUACAUAUGGGCACACACCAACAUAUGUAAGCAUAAUUACAGCUACACAUGGGCACACACCAUCAUAUAUAAGCAUUUAGGGCACACACCAACAUAUGUACACCUAUUAGGGGCUGUAAACCAUGUUUUCUCAUUGUUUUUUUGUUAAUCAUAGAAUAUUUUACUUCACACAAUAAUCGAGCAUAAUUUCAUCAUCUCAAACACAUUAUCCAUCGCCCAACAACUCAUUGACAAGCACAUUACACAUGCAAAGCCAACAAACAGAGGCUGCCAAGUGAGCCUAUACAAAGCACACACACAUGUAAAGCCAACAAACAGAGGCUGCCAAGUGAGCCUAUACCAAGCACAUAUACAUGAAAAGCCAUACAAAACAAAGGCUGCCAAGUGAGCCUAUACCAAGCACAAAUACAGGGAAGACAUCAAAUUGGAAGGCCUCACCCAAUAUUCGGGAAAAUAGAGCAGGCCAUUCAUGAAGGCCAACAUAGCAGGAGAGUGCGUGAACUUCCUCACAGGGGCCUCCGGACCACAAUAACGAACAACCUCGUCCCAAUUUUCCUCACAAAACAAGGAACCAUCAUCAAAAUCAGAAUUUUCAGGUUCAAAUGAAGGGUAAAUAACAGAUAUAGAUGGAUUUAAAGGCAUGGGACGCCUAAACAAGGACCACCUUGGUUUCGCCGGAGCUAGGGCUCCGGGCGACUCACGCCCAGCUUCUGCCUCCUCCACCACUUCCGACUCCUCCUCUAUCUCCGAGAAAGUUGCCGAGAACGGGAAAUCCACCAACGGCGGGUCACCCCACAAAGUGUAGUCCUCAUCUUCCGUGUCUGGAAUGUAGGCGCCGCUCAGGUAGGCUUCCCAAAGGUUGCUCAUCACUGC